GAGUGCCGUGAGCCGCGCCGCCGGGUUAGCCGCUGUCCUGAUGCGCUCGCUUCUCGAGCGGUGGCAGAAGUCGCGCCUCGGUCGGCUUUCGUGUGGAACAGCCUGAGCUCUGCUGACUUCUUUUUUUUAGUACCUGGGAUCGAACUCGGGACCUUACUCUUACGAGGCAGGCGGCGGUACCGCUGAGCUACGUCCCCUGUCCUCUGCUAUUAUAAACCAGAAACUGGGCGGAGCGAGCGUGAGCCAAGUCCCGAGCUGUAGUCAGAGGACCCAAAGAAACAGACGUCGCGUGUCCCUCGUCCCGCUGCCUUCCCGGGGGUUAGGUCACGCCUCCCGCCCUCCAGGCUCUCUAGGUGCCAGGGCUGCCUCGGCUUCUUGAAAAGCAGAGCUUCACUUGUCUGCUUCGGUUUGCCCCCCCCACACACACACACCAGACAUCUUUCUCCUCACGAAAGUGUUCCCUGGAUGAGGACGUUCAUAAAUCCCUGUCGCCAUUAUGUAUACCAUGUUCACUGUCCCCCCCCCCCAGAAUUGGGGGUUCCAACAACCAUCUGCUUAUGGAGGACCCGCCUAAGCGAGUACCUUCUGAGCAGACGCAUUUGAGGAUACAACAUCACAAGCCAAAAUGCCAAGAGUGUUGAACCUGAAUUUGAUCAAGAGGAAACAAUCAGACAUCUCCAGUUGUAUAACAUAAAUGUAGAGUUGGAAGCACACUUGGGGAUAUUUUGAUUAUGAGGCCGAAACCUACAUGACAGUGAUGAUGUAAGAGAAAGAUGAUCGUCAUCAGCCUUCUUCCUGUCUUUUUGUUGCAUAGCAUAAAUAAACUACGUGUUUGUUUAAAGUAUUCUUA